UUUAAGUGAAAUAUGAGGUGAGAUAGUCACAGAGAGGGAGCUGUUUUCCCCAGGUCAGGUUUAUGGUGCAGCUAGGAAUUGAGCACAACUCUUUCAACUCCUAUAUUUUGCAGCCAGACCAUUUGAUGCCUACUUCUAAGGGCUUGACUACAUGGUGGUAGAAGCAGGAAAUGUAACUGGGCCAGAGCUGGUGAUUGUGUGAAAAGACGCAAAGGUUUCAUCCCUAGCUGGAGGAAUAAAUUGGUAGGAAAAAACCUUUUAUUUUCCUGAGUUGGACUGUGAUUGAACCCUUGCAACACUAGCAUUUAAUUUUCUCGACUAUUUGGGUGUGUCUCACAGGCUGUUCCACCGCAACCCAAUUCCAUGGCAUGCCCACCCCCGAGCGAUGUUGUCUACAAGUAAUUAAAUGCCCUGGCACUGAAUCAGGCAUGCUGUGGGAUAGGGACUCCUAUCGAUUUGGGGGCAAUAUUUGAAAUCAAAGGUAUAAUUUGGUUUCUAUUUCUCAUAAAAUCUGACACAAGCAGCUGCACCGGGCUGUGAGCUCUCCAAGGAGCCAGACAUUCAACAGUGGUUACAUCAGCCUUUAGCCUUUUCAGCACCCGUGGGAUGGACUUUGUAGCUGUGUUUUCAGAGCUCAGUGCAGGAGGGAGAAAACCAUAGCCAUGAGUCCUGUAUAUGAUGAGCUAUUCCCUGUAGAAGCCAUAAUGUUGUGUGUGGGUCAUCUGUAAAAUUCCAUGCACUGACUACCAUCUAAUUUUGGGAGCUAGCAUGGCAGAGCUUGUUCUGGGUGUCAAGGCUAAGGUGAGGCUGAGGUGGGAGGUGAGCAGCAAUUUUACUGCAGCAGUCUGUGUUCUGGCAUGGGCUCCAAGUGCCUGAGCUGCCCUUUCUCAGACUAUUGCCAUCAGUACACGAGUCACACAUGGAAAAACACAGUCAUGAAGUCACAGGCUCUUUUGUGUCUACCUUGGGCAUCACCCGGAGAGAUUGAGUGAACAACAGAAUCAUCUGGCAUUGAGAAAAGCAGCUGAAAAUUUGUUUCUUCAAAUGCCUCCAGUGCAUGCUUCAUCCCAUUUGCUCUUCUGAUACCACUGUUAAAUAAAUAAGAACAUGUAUAAUGCCUAAGAAAGGAGACUAUGAAACAGGAAGAAAAUUUUUCAGCAUUUGAUCCAGGCUUUAUUCUGGAGGUGCAGCUGAAAGAGUGAACAGAACUCCUGUGGACCCACUGACCUGUCUGUGUGCACUUGGCCCACCAUGGGACCUUAUACCAUGAAGGUGUAAGGGUGAAGAACACAGGUUGGCAGAUAUUGGUGAUCAGCAUGUUUCAGAAGAUGUUGCUAGCUCACCAUCAUUCACUGCUAAGAAAAACAAACAAUAAACAGUACAAAGUUUAAUCAUUCUUUUUGCAAUUCUUCUU